rnacentral:rRNA from 1 species
CGCCUGUUUAUCAAAAACAUCUUUUCUCGUUAGUUUUUGAAGUAUGGCCUGCCCGCUGACUUUGAUGUUGAAGGGCCGCGGUAUUUUGACCGUGCAAAGGUAGCAUAGUCAUUAGUUCUUUAAUUGUGAUCUGGUAUGAAUGGCUUGACGAGGCAUGGGCUGUCUUAAUUUUGAAUUGUUUAUUGAAUUUGGUCUUUGAGUUAAAAUUCUUAGAUGUUUUUAUGGGACGAGAAGACCCUAUAGAGUUUGACAUUUAUAUGGUCUCUUUUCGUUUGUGAGGGUUCACUGGGCCAUUUAGUAUGUUUUGUUGGGGUGAUGGGAGGGAUAUUAUUUAACCCCUCCUUUGUGUUGUUAUAUUUAUUUAUAUUUGUUUGAUCCAUUUAUUUUGAUUGUAAGAUUAAAUUACCUUAGGGAUAACAGCGUAA